CCGGCGACCGGCGCACGGGUGAGUAACACGUAUGCAACCUGCCCUCCGCAGGGGGAGUAACCCGGAGAAAUCCGGACUAAUACCGCGUGGUACAUCUGUGGGGCAUCCCACGGGUGUUAAAAGGAAGCGAUUCCGGCGGAGGAUGGGCAUGCGGCGCAUUAGCUAGUUGGCGGGGUAACGGCCCACCAAGGCGACGAUGCGUAGGGGUUCUGAGAGGAAGGUCCCCCACACUGGUACUGAGACACGGACCAGACUCCUACGGGAGGCAGCAG
rnacentral:rRNA from 1 species